rnacentral:misc_RNA from 1 species
GUCAAUCUCCUCACCAGCACCUCCGGUGAGGUCUACAAGAGCAUCUUGCACAAGCCCACCCUCUAAUGCCUCAUAUGAUCCAUGAAGCUUUGCAUAAGCUUUUUCUAACAAGGAGACCCACAUUUCAUUACCCUUCCGACUGGUGGCAAAUGCUGGUUUACCAGGUGACUCGCAUGGAAUCCAAUCAUCUACCACAACAGGGACCCAUUCCCCCUGAAUGCAGAAGCGAACUGUAUAUAUUCCUUCUUGGUUGUAUUCUGGUGUAAUUAUGACUUCUGAUAUUCGUGAAACAUCAGUUAGCACAGCAACAGCACUUAGAAACCAGCAAUCACCCAGACGCCCCUGGCAAACAUCUGAAGAACUUGCUACUCCAGAAAAUAAGCAUGGGUGAGAAUCCAUAUGCUUCUCUUUCACUAUAUCAGUAGGCCUCAUCCAUUCAGAAACAACCUGCAAUUUAGAUGGAGGAUGGUCUGGAUCCACAAAUAAUGAGCGGUCAUUGGGAGGAAACUCUUGAUCAGUGAAAUGUGAUUCUCCUCUUGCUAAAAGAGCCUCCUUCACAGCUAUUUCCACUGAAAGCAUGUGUUGAUUGAUUUCCUUCUGUGAGUCUACUCGAGUCUUCCUCAACCUUCGAGUAAACGAAUCCACAUCCAACACAACUCCAUCACGAUCUGACCUUCUCUUCCUCCCACUUGAAUACUGCCCAUCCCAAUCUACAUCAUCUCUGUCAUAAAGAUCUACAUCCGCAGGAUCACUGUCCCAACCAUCAACCCUAGUUGGAGAAUCUGCCCAUUGCCAAUUAUCAUCCGGCAGAUCAAUCAUGCUGUACUCAGCAGAACCCAUGGCCGCAGGAAGAGCCGCAAUCUCAUCUUCUGUCAAGCACCUUCCCCAAAGAAAUACAUCCAUUAUGUGCACCUUUGAUUCGACUCCUUCACUAUCUGACCUCCCAAAUGAAUCAACAUCAAUGGGCGGCCUUAUGCCCACCCAGACAUCCGUUCCAAGAUCCCAUAUGCAACUAGCCACUCUAAGUGGUAGCCCCGUCUGGUAGCCAUCAAAAUAUCCAUCCAGGUAGCAAGUUGCUUCACCCAAAUCAGCAUCAAUAGUCAAAGUUAUGAUAUGCCACCUUCCAUCUGCUAUACUGGUGGCACUUAUACUCCAUUCCUUUACAGUAGUUUGCUUGUCAGUUUUAGUAAUUAAUCUAAGCCCAACUUGUCCUGCU